UGCGACCGUGUGCUCUAUGCUUCGGUCGGCCCGCCACGUGCCACUAGUGUAAUGGCGGCGCGUCACUAGCGCAAUGGCGGCGCCCGGUGAUCACCGCACGUUUCACAUCGCAGUUACGGUUUACGAGUUUUUUUAAAAAAUAAUGAAAUACUCACAGUGAUAUCCGGAUAUUUGUAAAAAUUCACCGUGACCUGUGCUCUCCUUCUUCGCCUCGGUUCGUGAAAAUACACCGAUUCAUGCCCGCUGACGAUGCGCUGUCCGCGGAGAGUAAAUAUUUACCUCGCAAAGUCACUAUCACUAUUCGUCGAGGAGAGUCUUAACUUGCACUAUAGCUAGUUGAUAAGUUUGUUCAUUGGCCUUUAUUGAUUUGAGAAAAUCAGCACGACGCCCCUGGUUACUGCAUAACCUCAACCGUGUGACAGCUUGCCUUAUAGGCACAAAACCUUAGUUUGCGACGAGCAAUUUUUAUAAGCUAUCCCGCUAUGACACAAUCAAGAGCGCUUGUGCCAGGAGAAAGGCACUAGAAUUUAGUUUAUUGGCUAUAAUUAUAGUGCUAUAAUUAAUCUGGCGUUCUAUCCAAGAUCAGUUCUACAGAUGUUACAUCUCCUUGAGUUGCGUUAUAUGAUCACAUGCUUCUAUGUAUCCCAGACUUUCCCUUUCCGAUGGAGAGUCUCCUCAUUUGAUUGUAUUACACCCAAAGGGCUCGUGAACACAUUCAGACAAUAGUUGCUUUUACUUAUAAUGAAGAUAACGUAUCCUGCUCCGACAGCUAGUAUACAAGGUGGAGGAUUUAACACAACAAUCAACCACUCUGGUCUCACACAUAUUUGCCUAACUUAAUUUAACUUAAAACCACUCUACCUUCUGUGACGGUAAUGGCCAUACCCUGUGUCUACCCUGCUUGUCGCAUAAUCACUUUCCUAAAUGCGACACAAGUUAAACUCAUUGCAUGGAUUACCAUCUCAUAUUUAAUAAAGAACCUAUAACAUCCA